GGGAAUAAUAAAAGAAUUGACAUUUAUUU
rnacentral:tmRNA from 6 species